AUGUGCCGUCGCUGAGGCACUUGCAUCUCCGGAACAUUGACAACACGGAUUUCUGUCCGGUAUGCCUGAAUCCCGACUACCAGAGCAAGGUCUUCGAGCUUUGUCCUGACCUGGUGGCACUAGACAGCAAGCGCAGGCACUUGCCGGACCUGGAAGCAGAGACG
rnacentral:SRP_RNA from 1 species